rnacentral:tRNA from 1 species
GGCGGCGUAGCCAAGCGGUAAGGCAGCGGACUGCAAAUCCGUUAUUCAGCGGUUCAAAUCCGCUCGCCGCCUCCA